AGUGGUAUAGCUCAGUCGGGUAAGCGCCCGCUUCUCACGCAAGAGAUGCGGGUUCGAAUCCCGGCGCUGACAUGU
rnacentral:tRNA from 1 species